UAGGUGGGACCAAACAAUAGCAGAUGAAUACUGUACCAAUGUACCACUUGCUUUUAAGUCAGCAAUUCCCCCCACCACAGCUGUAUGAUCUUACUGUUUUUAUGUGGCAGUUCUGGUUGCAAUUUAAAAAUGUAAGAUUUGCCCUUCUGGGUCAAAUCAAAAGUCCCAUCUAAUUUAGGAAUGGGAGUAUGUAGCCUUUGAGGUGUUGUUGGACCAAGUCUCAUCAACCCUGAUCAACCUAGCCAUGGUCAGCAAUAACAGAUGUUUAGUUCUGCAAGGAUUGGAAGGCCCCAGGUUACCUAUCCCUGAGCUAAUGAAAAUUCUCUCCCUGCUCGCUGCCAACCAAAUGUCUCAAGAAGUACAAUACAAUGUAUUCACCUUUUUAAGACCUCACAGUACAGUAUAUGCAGGCUUAUACCGGGUCCAGUUUAGAGUACUCCGCCCCUUCUUCACUUUAGAUCCAACAUGUAUACAAUCAGCACAACUGUCUGCAUAGUCAGAUGUACGCUUGUAGUUAUUAAAAUAUAACAUUCAACUCACACCAACUGUGUAUCUUUACGCGCAACAGUGGAACUGUACAAAAAUGAUCAAGGGCACACUUUCAAACAGAAACGUGUACGCACGUAUACACAGCUUGGAACCUUCAACUUAACGUGUGAACAAGGUUCCAAUGCGGAGAAAUCACGUGGUGCACACUCGGCACAGUCCUAAAACUGCUAAGCAGCAGUCUGCCCUCUUUUGAGAGCCCUAGCAGUGGGAUAUUGCUGAAGCCAGGCAAGAGGCGGCUCCACCAGAGGCGUCUGGGAGCGGGAUGCAUCGGCAAAUCCUCCAGCGGCCAUUACCCGCCCUUACAGCCGUAGGUGCGGAAUUAAAAUGGCUCCGCCCCCUCCCUCAAAUAAGCACGCGGCGGAGGACGUGGCGAAGCCCAUCGAAGGUAACCGGCCGCCAGAUCCCUCAACACCGGGAGCGAGGCCAAUCAGCCCACGCUCUUAGAGACGAAGCGAGUGAUUGGCUCGUUCCUUCAGAGGCAAAGGGAGCACAGCGUCUCGCGGAUGGGACCCUCCGAACCAACGUGCCUCCUGGGAGGCCCGCGUGCAAGCGACCACGCCCCCCUCUCGCGCGCGCAUAGAAACACCUGGGCAGCCACGUGAUCCGAGGCGUCGAAGGGCUGGCGGCGCGUCGCUGAAGCGCCGAGGAAGGCUUGGGCUUCGCGCGCGAAGGGAGCCUCAGUGGCGGAGGAGUGAGGUUCGAAUUCAAAUUAUGUAAGAACCGUGUUGCCUGCGGUUAAGAUACGUUACUGUUUCAUUUUAUUUUUUCCACCCUCGCCCGGUCUCUCUCCUGCCAAAGGCCCACCUGCCGGCUGGAAACCGCGGGAGGGGAGAGGGCCCUUGGGCUCCAAUCCUGUUUGCGUGCUUCCCACAGGCCUAAUCCAGCGGGGCUGCUCUCGGUGUCCUUAUGGCGUCCUCAUGUAGUUGCGCGCCUGCCAAGGCGGAUCCAGCCAUGCCCGGGAGAAGAGAUUCUUGCCACGCUCAGCUGAGGAGGAAGGAAGCCCCGCUUGGAUGCCACGAGUCGUUUGCUUCCCAAUGAGCCCGAGUUACGCGACGAGGCUGCGCGUCCGGGAAGCGGGUGGAAGCGGCUCCACCCCACUCAGCGCUCGCUUCUCCCGACCCAAUGGGAGGCGGAGACGCCCGAAGCCCCGCCCCGCCCCUACGGCUGCCGGCGAAUGCGAUAGGCGCAGGCGGCGAGCGAGGCUGCUUCGGAGCUUCCCGGAAGGGCGAGUUGGAAGCUUCCGAGGAACAGCCACGUCCGCUCGCAGAACUCAUCCAGGGCGCUGCAGAGAUGGAUUUUGAAGCAGUUGCAAAGUACUCAAAGCUCCAUGCCAAACCUCCAGGACUUUCUCUUCAGUAUGGAACAGCUGGUUUCCGUACCAAAGCAGAGGACCUUGAUCACACAAUGUUUUGCAUGGGUUUGCUGGCCGUAUUGAGAUCCAAGCAGAAAAAAUCCACCAUUGGCGUUAUGGUUACAGCCUCUCACAACCCUGAAGAAGACAAUGGUGUGAAGUUGAUUGACCCAUUGGGUGAAAUGUUGUCACCUAUCUGGGAAGAGCAUGCCACACACUUGGCCAAUGCAGAAGAACAUGAAUUGCAGGGAGUGCUGACUGACAUCUGCCAGAAGGAAGCUGUAGACCUUCAGCAGGAGGCCUUCAUUGUUAUUGGCAGAGACACCAGGCCUAGCAGUAAGAAGCUUUCACAAUCAGUGAUUGAUGGUGUGUCUGCUCUUGGAGGUCAAUACCAAGAUUAUGGCUUGGUAACAACACCACAACUACACUACAUGGUCUGCUGUCGAAACACUCAUGGGAGUUAUGGGACUGCAACCGUGGAAGGUUACUACCAGAAACUCUCCAAGGCUUUUGUGGAGUUUACAAAGCAGGCUACCAGCCAAAGGGAUGGUCACAUUUGCCUGAAGGUAGAUUGUGCAAAUGGCAUAGGUGCUCUCAAACUCAAAGAAAUGGAACGCUAUCUUCCAAGUUGCUUCGUAAUACACUUCAACAAUGAUGGGACUAAAGGAGAACUCAAUCACCAAUGUGGUGCCGAUUUUGUAAAAGUUAAUCAGAAGCCUCCUGUGGGACUGGAAAUGAAGCCUGAUGAGAGAUGCUGCUCAUUCGAUGGUGAUGCUGACCGAAUUGUUUACUACUAUAAUGACCCUGCUGGCCAUUUUCACCUUCUUGAUGGAGAUAAAAUAGCAACUCUAAUCAGCACUUUUCUUAAGGAACUUCUGGUCAAGGCUGGGCAGAUCUUAUCAUUUGCAGUCAUACAAACAGCCUAUGCCAAUGGGAGCUCUACACGUUAUUUGGAAGAAACCAUGAAGGUGCCUGUCCACUGUGCAAAAACAGGAGUGAAGCACUUGCAUCACAAGGCCCAGGAAUUUGACAUUGGAGUUUAUUUUGAAGCAAAUGGUCAUGGCACGGUCCUGUUUAGUAAAGCUGCAGAAGAGAAGAUAAGGUACCAGGCAAAAGAGGAAAAAAACAACCAAAAAAGAGAAGCUGCAAAGAUCCUUGAAAAUACUAUUGACUUGAUAAAUCAGACGAUUGGUGAUGCUCUUUCAGACAUGCUGGUGAUUGAAGCCAUCUUGGCGUUGAAGAAUCUCACAGUACAACAGUGGGACACCAUGUACACAGAUCUUCCCAACCGGCAACUCAAAGUGAAGGUUGCUGACAGACGUGUAAUUGACACUACGGAUGCUGAAAGGCGAGCAGUUACACCCCCAGGGCUGCAGGAGAGAAUUGAUGAGCUCACCCAGAGGUUUAAAUUGGCUCGAGCUUUUGUUCGCCCAUCUGGAACAGAAGAUGUCGUCAGAGUCUAUGCUGAAGCAGACACACAGGAAAAUGCAGAUAAACUUGCACAUGAAGUUAGCCUGGCUGUCUACCAUAUAGCUGGAGGAGUUGGAGAACAGCCCAAAGCUGUAGUAUAAUGAAGUACCGUUCUUUAAGGGAAAGAAUUUGGGUAAAGCAUGGGGCUCCCUGAAUGACCAAUGCUUCUGCUGGUGAUUUUGCUGUUAAAUACUUGGCUCAGGACGUUGAAGAAAGGCAGAAGCUGUUCAAUGCUGCGAACAGCACAGAUGGUCAGGAGCAAGCUGCCAGGUUCCCAGUUUAGUGUUUUUCCUGAGCUGUCCUCCUCUGGGUUUUUCUGUUAAUAUGUGGGAAGAGAGGAGAGGAGAGUUUCAAGACAAAGCAGUGCUGCAGGAGACUUCAAAAAUUCACUGUUUUGCUAAUCGUACUACGUAUGGUUUGAAUUCCCUUUGGUGUGUGCCUUGUCUUCGCACCUCCAACCCUGAAUCAUCAGAAGCUUCUGGAAUAAAGGCCCAGCGAUACCUGUUAAAGAAAAAGAGGACAAAGUCACCACUUCGUUGCACAUUCAGCAAGUUAUCUUUGGCAAGAACACCCCAGCCCUCCCUAGUUGAGUCAACUUAUAUCCAGGCAUGUCUUUAUGUACCCAAAAUAUGCUAAGAAUAACCAAGAUCCAUGGGAGUAAAAUUAGAUGCAUAAAAUGAUAAAUAGCAAUCUGUUUCACAGAAGCCACUUCUAAGAAGAAAUAUUCUGAAAGCAUUGUUUGCUCUGUUCUGCCCACCCCUUUCCGAUUUCCUUUUGUUCAUAUUUGCCAAAUGGUAAUAAAACACACCCUUCCAUACAUAUUGGGACACAGUCUUGGGCAUCUGACAGAAGCAUAACAGCACAGGGGCUGGUUAGUGGGGAGAGGGCCCCUAUCCAAGUUGCUUCUCCUGAAUUUCUACCAACGCUAUAAGGAGGGCCUUUCCCUGAUGGGGAGCUGUGCCACCCUAAGCCACAUUUUCACUGCCAUAACACAAGGUGAGGUGGCAGAAGGCAGUGAAAGCACCCGCCCUUGACAGUCCAUAAAGACUAAAUAUGAAGGUUUUCUCACAAUGAAGUGUUUCUACGGCACACUUUGAUUUGAAUGAGAUCAAGUGUACUUACAUCUGAAACUGAGGAAGAUUUUCAGAGGGCAGUGCCAAGGCUAAAUCCAGAAAUUUACAAGCUGACAAAUAAAGAUUUAACCAUCUCUGGCUGUUGUAGGAUGUCGAGAAUCCAUUGCCUCCAGUGUAUGUAGUUUCCAGGCCAGCAACAGAUGGUCCUGCAGUUCUACAAUUUGAAUGAAUUUACUACAGGUUAUUCUUAAUCAGUUAUGUCCACACUUCACAAAUCAAUGCUCUUCUCUUAGAGAACUCUCCCAGUUCACUUAAAGUAUGUGCUAUGAGGAUAACUUUUAUAUUACCCUUCUAAAAACACCAUGUAAACAAUUUUAACAAGACAGUUGCAGCUAGUAGUUCUAAAUAACACUUCGUUUGUUCAGAUAAUUUAGUGUAAAGAAGCAAGACCAAAGUUUGAUUUACUUUACAAUACAGUGAUACCUCGAUUUACGAAUUUAAUCCAUUCCGAACGGACCUUCGUAAGUCGAAGCCAAUGGAUAAUUUUUUAAAAGAAAUUUGUAAGUCGAAAAAAUCCUAUCUAAACUGCAUCCAAAAUGGCGGAUAGAACUCUAUUCGUAUCUCGAAACAUUUGUAAGUCGAGUCAUUCAUAAGUUGAGGUACCACUGUAUUGAGUCCUGUCUGACUAAUUUGAUCUCUGUGAACUGACUGCAUUUAUUAAAUAAACAUGAACUGGAAUUUUAAAAA